AGAGUUUGAUCAUGGCUCAGAACGAACGCUGGCGGCAGGCCUAACACAUGCAAGUCGAGCGCCCCGCAAGGGGAGCGGCGGACGGGUGAGUAACACGUGGGAAUUUUCUUCAAGGUACGGAACAACUCAGGGAAACUUGGGCUAAUACCGUAUGAUGCAGAGAUGCCAAAGAUUUAUCGCCUUGGGAUAAGCCCGCGUCAGAUUAGGUAGUUGGUGGGGUAAUGGCCUACCAAGCCUGUGAUCUGUAGCUGGUCUGAGAGGACGAUCAGCCACAUUGGGACUGAGACACGGCCCAAACUCCUACGGGAGGCAGCAGUGGGGAAUCUUGCGCAAUGGGCGAAAGCCUGACGCAGCCAUGCCGCGUGAAUGAUGAAGGUCUUAGGAUUGUAAAGUUCUUUCGCCCGUGACGAUGAUGACGGUAACGGGAGAAGAAGCCCCGGCUAACUUCGUGCCAGCAGCCGCGGUAAUACGAAGGGGGCUAGCGUUGUUCGGAAUUACUGGGCGUAAAGCGCGCGUAGGCGGCUUUGCAAGCCAGAGGUGAAAUGCCUGAGCUCAACUUAGGAAUUGCCUUUGGGACUGCGAGGCUUCGAGGACGGAAGAGGUGAGUGGAAUUCCCAGUGUAGAGGUGAAAUUCGUAGAUAUUGGGAAGAACACCGGUGGCGAAGGCGGCUCACUGGUCCGUUUCUGACGCUAAAGCGCGAAAGCGUGGGGAUCAAACAGGAUUAGAUACCCUGGUAGUCCACGCUGUAAACGAUGAGUGCUAGGCGUCGGCACGCUUGCGUGUCGGUGCCGCAGCUAAC
rnacentral:rRNA from 1 species